rnacentral:lncRNA from 1 species
ACCCUGGCUGAGCAGGAAGUGGCAGGGUCAGGAAAAGCUAGGCCACAAGUUUUCCCUUGAGAGCCUUAGAGACUGCAUCUCACCAUGUUGCUCAGGCUGUUCUCAAACUCCUGGGCUCAAGCAAUCCUCCUGCCUCAGCCUCUCAAAGUGUUGGGAUUAUAGAUGUGAGCCACUGUACCCGGCCCUGGUUGCAUUCUUCAUUAUUAGGAACAGUCUAGCCCUGUCGCCCAGGCUGGAGUGCCAUGGUUUGAACUCCACUCACCACAACCACCACCUCCCAGGUUCAAAUGAUUCUCCUGCCUCAGCCUCCUGAAUAUCUGGGAUUACAGGUGCCUG